rnacentral:lncRNA from 1 species
AGGGAAACAAAGAAAGAAAAAGAAAGGGAAGGAGGGAGGGAGGAAGGAAGGAAGGAAGGAAGGCAGGCAGGCAGGCAGGCAGGCAGGCACUGGAGAGAUAAGCAGCUGAUACAAUGUUUCCUUAACAUUCAUAGCUCCAUGGGUAGAAGCCCAGGAACCCCAUAGAAACUAGAUGUGGUGGUGCUUGCUUGUGAUCUCUGGCCUCAGGAGGUGGAUGCUGAAGAUCAGAAGAUCAGCAUCCGCUUCAGCUAUAAUGUGGUCCGAGGAAAGCCUGAUCUACUUGAGCCCCUGUCUCAAAUUUUUAGUUGGGAGCUAGAGAGACAGCUCAGGAUUAAGAGUGUUUGCCCCUCUUCCAGGGGACCAAGUUGGGUUCCCAUCCCCUGCGUCUGGUGACUCACACCUAACUCCAGCUCCAUAGGAUCCAACACCCUCUACAGCAGGCAUAUGUACACACAUGGUCUACACUCACAAACACAUGUAACACAUAAAUAAAAUAAAAAAUUAGUCUUUUUUUAAAAGGAAUUUUAGAAAGAAAGAUGUUUUAAAAGACGUUUUGAACUGUAGGAAUGUUCAGCCUGACCUUGGCCAGUUUCUUCAUGCCCUACGUAAUGCAAAUGUGUUUAACAUAAGCUCUGUGGCUCAUUCCCGUUUGGAUUUAUGUAUACCCCAAACAGCGUGCUUGGCAUAGCAUCCUGCUUAUCACCAUAAAAUGUGGAGUUCAAAUUCGGCCCUUGUCAAAACAUCGGGGCGCAGAGAUUAGUGUUGUGGCAGUUGACAUAAAAUGACUUUUAAAAGUGGUCCUGAGGUUAAGCUGGGGUUUUGUAACUCGGCGAUUGCAUGGGCCUUCUAAGGGAUUUUCUUUAAUGUCCGUUGCACAAUAGGUUUUCAGAUUACGUUACAGGCCUGCUAUCUUAGCCCAUCUGGGCCAAGCACAUCUAGCCUCGGGAUGCUGGACAGGGGCCAAAUUGCCUUUUAUAGUUGCAAAAAUUGCAAUUAUGUGAGGUUGUUUGCUACAUUUUUUUUAGCAGUAUUUGAUAUAAUUACAAUAUUGUACUGUUCCUAUACAAGUCACAUAAUAGAAUUUGAGACAAGGAAUGCUGGGGAACUUGCAGUUCCUGAAGAAAUAUAAUGUAUUAUAUCUUGUCAGAGGCUUCUUUGCAUCUUUAGGGAAGGGCAUUCUGGAGGGAAAGCAGACCUCUAAUGCGUUCUCAAACCCGCAGGCCUCUCGCCACCUGUAACUAUAAAUGCUCUCAUCAUUUCCCUACUAAUGUUUUAGUACAAAGGCUGUUGUGACAAAAUCCACAUAGGGUUUGAGGUCCUGUGGGCUGCUUGUCUAGCUCACAGCAAAACAGGGUUUAAAAAUCUUAGAGACGGGCUGGAGAGAUGGCUCAGUGGUUAAGAGCACUGACUGCUCUUCCAGAAGUCCUGAGUUCAAAUCCCAGCAACCACAUGGUGGCUCACAACCAUAUGUAAUGAGAUCUGAUGCCCCUUCUGGUGUGUCUGAAGACAUCUACAGUGUAUUUAUAUGUAAUAAAUAAAUAAAUCUAUAAAAAAAAAACUUAGAGACAAAAGAGGUGUCUGAGUGAAAUGAUAAAGAUAGACCUUCAGCAAUAGAAGAAUGAAAACCAAGUCAAAACCUAGAAAAGAGCAUCACAGUAGAUAGAUAGCAUCUGCCUUGGGCACACCUGGUCAUGUGUCUAUAACCUGACCAGGCUGUUCAUAGACACUGUGGCUGUUCACAGCCUCUGGAGACUUCACCAGUGAGAUAAAGAAAAGAGCAAUAUAAAAUGCAUAGAUAGUAGUUUUAAUAUUUAUGUAUGAUCAUACAGAGGUAAAAUUCAAGAAGCCAACUAAAAAAUUUAUCGUAAGUAAUAAAAGUUUUAGUUUGCCCGGUUGGCUACAGUAUAAGUACGUGAAAGUCAAUAGCCUUCCUUUAUGUGAAGAAUAAACAUAUUAUAAUGUGGACUGUGAUCCUGUUUAUUCAUCCCCUCCGUGCUAUAAAGUACCCAGGAGUAAAUUUAGAAAGACAUGGACACAGAGAAAGAAGAAUACGGCCAUUUGUAAAGCUGAAGGUUACAGAUCCAGUGAGACUGGAGUGAAGACCAGGAGUCCCCUCACUCUCUCCGACGACUAAUCCCCAGGACUGUGCUGUCUUACACUGAUGAGGGCAAUGAGCCAUUGAAAAGGGACUCCUUUUAAUCUUUAAAGGGGUACUUUAUUAAUGUUUUCAUCAAUGGUGUCAGAAGCUCCUGAACCUGUUCAUUUGCUAUCUUACCCAUGUGGGGGGAGGGGGGGCUGCUUGUCUGGCAACUGAACCCAGUCCUCUUCUAGAAUAGCAAGUGUCCCUCGCUGCCGAGCUACCUCCCUAGCUCCCAUUUUUAACUUUCCUUUUAGACACAGGACUCCGUGUGGCCCACGCUGGCUUGCAACUGAGGCUAGACAGAAGCUGCUGACCCUCCAUCUGCUGGCACAUGUCUGGCCUCAAAUGUCUAAAUGCUAAGAGAAUUGGUUUAAUAUG